CUUAAAUAUUCCCCUUAUUCAUCUAAUUCCUCACCCCAGCAACGAAGUUCAAACAGAAACAAGAUCACCACAUAACAUAGCAGAAUUCAUUCAAUCAAGGUUGAUUGGUCGGUGCUGACGGGGCAGAGCUGAGGCUAGAGUUCAACUCCGUAUUUUGUCUUCCGCUGUUGCACUAGCUCUUAUUUGUCUUUUGUUUCUCCAACUUAAGACUUUUAUGUUAAAUUCUGAAUUAUGUUUCUUAUCGAGCUUAAACUCUCAACUUCUAGCUCUAUGUUAUUAACAUUGGUUUUCGGAAGCAUGAAACCGAACUUGUGAUCCUAAGGCUUAGAAUGUUGUUGAUUGAUUAAUAUCACUUGAUUUUUGUCUUUCUUCA